CCUACGGGGGGCAGCAGUGGGGAAUAUUGGACAAUGGGGGGAACCCUGAUCCAGCCAUGCCGCGUGUGUGAAGAAGGCCCUCGGGUUGUAAAGCACUUUCAGUGAGGAAGAACGCCUGGUGGUUAAUACCCAUCAGGAAAGACAUCACUCACAGAAGAAGCACCGGCUAACUCCGUGCCAGCAGCCGCGGUAAUACGGAGGGGUGCGAGCGUUAAUCGGAAUUACUGGGCGUAAAGCGCGCGUAGGUGGCUUGAUAAGCCGGUUGUGAAAGCCCCGGGCUCAACCUGGGAACGGCAUCCGGAACUGUCAAGCUAGAGUGCAGGAGAGGAAGGUAGAAUUCCCGGUGUAGCGGUGAAAUGCGUAGAGAUCGGGAGGAAUACCAGUGGCGAAGGCGGCCUUCUGGACUGACACUGACACUGAGGUGCGAAAGCGUGGGUAGCAAACAGGAUUAGAUACCCCUGUAGUC
rnacentral:rRNA from 1 species